rnacentral:rRNA from 1 species
GACGAACGCUGGCGGCGGGCUUAACACAUGCAAGUCGAACGGAAAGGCCCUGCUUUUGUGGGGUGCUCGAGUGGCGAACGGGUGAGUAACACGUGAGUAACCUGCCCUUGACUUUGGGAUAACUUCAGGAAACUGGGGCUAAUACCGGAUAGCAGCUCCUGCUGCAUGGUGGGGGUUGGAAAGUUUCGGCGGUUGGGGAUGGACUCGCGGCUUAUCAGCUUGCUGGUGGGGUAGUGGCUGACCAAGGCUUUGACGGGUAGCCGGCCUGGGAGGGUGACCGGCCACAUGGGGACUGAGGUACGGACCAGAGUCCUACGGGAGGCAGCAGUGGGGAGUAUUGCCCAAUGGGCGGGAGCCUGAGGAAGCAACGCCGCGUGCGGGAUGACGGCCUUCGGGUUGUAAACCGCUUUCGCCUGUGACGAAGCGUGAGUGACGGUAAUGGGUAAAGAAGCACCGGCUAACUACGUG